rnacentral:rRNA from 1 species
AGAGAUCAUGGCUCAGAAUCAACGCUGGCGGCGUGCCUAACACAUGCAAGUCGAACGCGGUUACCCCGCAAGGGGUGACUGAGUGGCGAACGGGUGAGUAACACGUGGGUGAUCUACCUUCGAGUGGGGGAUAACGUCCCGAAAGGGACGCUAAUACCGCAUGACGUUCUGGGUUUGAAGACCUGGAAACCAAAGUCGGGGACCGCAAGGCCUGACGCUUGAAGAGGAGCCCGCGCCUGAUUAGCUAGUUGGUGAGGUAAUGGCUCACCAAGGCGACGAUCAGUAGCCGGCCUGAGAGGGCGGACGGCCACACUGGGACUGAGACACGGCCCAGACUCCUACGGGAGGCAGCAGUGGGGAAUUGUUCGCAAUGGGCGCAAGCCUGACGACGCAACGCCGCGUGGAGGAUGAAGGUCUUCGGAUUGUAAACUCCUGUUGAUCGGGAAGAAUUGCCUCCGGGUGAAUAGUCCGGAGGAAUGACGGUACCGAUUGAGGAAGCCACGGCUAACUCUGUGCCAGCAGCCGCGGUAAUACAGAGGUGGCAAGCGUUGUUCGGAAUUACUGGGCGUAAAGGGCGCGUAGGUGGCCUUGUUAGUCAGACGUGAAAUCCCCAAGCUUAACUUGGGAACUGCGUCUGAUACUGCAAGGCUUGAGUUCGGGAGAGGGAUGUGGAAUUCCAGGUGUAGCGGUGAAAUGCGUAGAUAUCUGGAGGAACACCGGUGGCGAAGCGGCAUCCUGGACCGAAACUGACACUGAGGCGCGAAAGCUAGGGAGCAAACCGGAUUAGAUACCCGGGUAGUCCUAGCCCUAAACGAUGAGUGCUUGGUGUGGCGGGUAUCGAUCCCUGCCGUGCCGAAGCUAACGCAUUAAGC